rnacentral:rRNA from 1 species
UUUCCUAACACAUGCAAGUCGAGCGGAAACGAGUUAUCUGAACCUUCGGGGAACGAUAACGGCGUCGAGCGGCGGACGGGUGAGUAAUGCCUAGGAAAUUGCCCUGAUGUGGGGGAUAACCAUUGGAAACGAUGGCUAAUACCGCAUAAUGCCUACGGGCCAAAGAGGGGGACCUUCGGGCCUCUCGCGUCAGGAUAUGCCUAGGUGGGAUUAGCUAGUUGGUGAGGUAAUGGCUCACCAAGGCGACGAUCCCUAGCUGGUCUGAGAGGAUGAUCAGCCACACUGGAACUGAGACACGGUCCAGACUCCUACGGGAGGCAGCAGUGGGGAAUAUUGCACAAUGGGCGCAAGCCUGAUGCAGCCAUGCCGCGUGUGUGAAGAAGGCCUUCGGGUUGUAAAGCACUUUCAGUCGUGAGGAAGGUAGUGUAGUUAAUAGCUGCAUUAUUUGACGUUAGCGACAGAAGAAGCACCGGCUAACUCCGUGCCAGCAGCCGCGGUAAUACGGAGGGUGCGAGCGUUAAUCGGAAUUACUGGGCGUAAAGCGCAUGCAGGUGGUUUGUUAAGUCAGAUGUGAAAGCCCGGGGCUCAACCUCCGGAAUAGCAUUUUGAAACUGGCAGACUAGAGUACUGUAGAGGGGGGGUAGAAUUUCAGGUGUAGCCGGUGAAAUGCC